AGAGUUUGAUCCUGGCUCAGAUUGAACGCUGGCGGCAGGCCUAACACAUGCAAGUCGAGCGGUAACACAGAGAGCUUGCUCUCGGGUGACGAGCGGCGGACGGGUGAGUAAUGUCUGGGAAACUGCCUGAUGGAGGGGGAUAACUACUGGAAACGGUAGCUAAUACCGCAUAACGUCGCAAGACCAAAGUGGGGGACCUUCGGGCCUCAUGCCAUCAGAUGUGCCCAGAUGGGAUUAGCUAGUAGGUGGGGUAAUGGCUCACCUAGGCGACGAUCCCUAGCUGGUCUGAGAGGAUGACCAGCCACACUGGAACUGAGACACGGUCCAGACUCCUACGGGAGGCAGCAGUGGGGAAUAUUGCACAAUGGGCGCAAGCCUGAUGCAGCCAUGCCGCGUGUAUGAAGAAGGCCUUCGGGUUGUAAAGUACUUUCAGCGAGGAGGAAGGCGUUAAGGUUAAUAACCUUGGCGAUUGACGUUACUCGCAGAAGAAGCACCGGCUAACUCCGUGCCAGCAGCCGCGGUAAUACGGAGGGUGCAAGCGUUAAUCGGAAUUACUGGGCGUAAAGCGCACGCAGGCGGUCUGUCAAGUCGGAUGUGAAAUCCCCGGGCUCAACCUGGGAACUGCAUUCGAAACUGGCAGGCUAGAGUCUUGUAGAGGGGGGUAGAAUUCCAGGUGUAGCGGUGAAAUGCGUAGAGAUCUGGAGGAAUACCGGUGGCGAAGGCGGCCCCCUGGACAAAGACUGACGCUCAGGUGCGAAAGCGUGGGGAGCAAACAGGAUUAGAUACCCUGGUAGUCCACGCCGUAAACGAUGUCGACUUGGAGGUUGUGCCCUUGAGGCGUGGCUUCCGGAGCUAACGCGUUAAGUCGACCGCCUGGGGAGUACGGCCGCAAGGUUAAAACUCAAAUGAAUUGACGGGGGCCCGCACAAGCGGUGGAGCAUGUGGUUUAAUUCGAUGCAACGCGAAGAACCUUACCUGGUCUUGACAUCCACAGAACUUUCCAGAGAUGGAUUGGUGCCUUCGGGAACUGUGAGACAGGUGCUGCAUGGCUGUCGUCAGCUCGUGUUGUGAAAUGUUGGGUUAAGUCCCGCAACGAGCGCAACCCUUAUCCUUUGUUGCCAGCGGUCCGGCCGGGAACUCAAAGGAGACUGCCAGUGAUAAACUGGAGGAAGGUGGGGAUGACGUCAAGUCAUCAUGGCCCUUACGACCAGGGCUACACACGUGCUACAAUGGCAUAUACAAAGAGAAGCGACCUCGCGAGAGCAAGCGGACCUCAUAAAGUAUGUCGUAGUCCGGAUUGGAGUCUGCAACUCGACUCCAUGAAGUCGGAAUCGCUAGUAAUCGUAGAUCAGAAUGCUACGGUGAAUACGUUCCCGGGCCUUGUACACACCGCCCGUCACACCAUGGGAGUGGGUUGCAAAAGAAGUAGGUAGCUUAACCUUCGGGAGGGCGCUUACCACUUUGUGAUUCAUGACUGGGGUGAAGUCGUAACAAGGUAACCG
rnacentral:rRNA from 1 species